rnacentral:rRNA from 1 species
AAAGAGCCCAGACCAACAGCUAAGGCCCCAAAAUGUGUGUUAAGUGGAAAAGGAUGUGGGAUUUCGAAGACAACUAGGAUGUUGGCUCAGAAGCAGCCAUUCAUUCAAAGAGUGCGUAAUAGCUCACUAGUCGAGAGGUCCUGCGCCGAAAAUGUCCGGGGCUAAAACACACUGCCGAAGCUUUGGAAUUGAAUUAAUUCAAUUGGUAGAGGAGCAUUCUUAAAGGGACGAAGCAGUACCGUAAGGAGCUGUGGACUUUUAAGAAGAGAGAAUGCCGGAAUGAGUAGCGAGAGGAAGGUGGGAAUCCUUCCGGCCGAAUAUCUAAGGUUUCCAGAGUAAAGCUGAUCUGCUCUGGGUAAGUCGGGGCCUAAGGCGAGGUCGAAAGACGUAGUCGAUGGAUAACAGGUUGAAAUUCCUGUACUAUCCUGUAACAGAACUGUGGGGACACAGGCAGAGAGCGUGAGCCGGGAAUGGAAAGACCGGUACAAGCGAGGUAGGAGAAGAGUUGGCAAAUCCGCUCUUUAAUCUGAAGACGUGAUGUGGACUGAAAAUAAGUAGGGAAGCACGUGAGCUGACUGUCAAGAAAAGCCGCUAUUGUUUGCAGGAUACCCGUACCGUAAACCGACACAGGUGGAUGAGGAGAGAAUCCUAAGGCCGACGGGAGAAGCAUUGUUAAGGAACUCGGCAAAAUGACUCCGUAACUUCGGGAGAAGGAGUGCCAGUAAGAUGGCCGCAGAGAAUUGGCCCAAGCAACUGUUUAGCAAAAACACAGGUCUAUGCAAAACCGAAAGGUGAGGUAUAUGGGCUGACGCCUGCCCGGUGCUGGAAGGUUAAGGGGAGAGGUUAGCGCAAGCGAAGCUUUGAACUUAAGCCCCAGUAAACGGCGGCCGUAACUAUAACGGUCCUAAGGUAGCGAAAUUCCUUGUCGGGUAAGUUCCGACCCGCACGAAAGGCGUAAUGAUUUGGGCACUGUCUCAACAAUGCACCCGGUGAAAUUGAAAUACCAGUGAAGAUGCUGGUUACCUGCGCCAGGACGGAAAGACCCCAUGGAGCUUUACUCCAGCUUGAUACUGGGAUUCGGUAUUGCAUGUACAGGAUAGGUGGGAGGCUAGGAAAUGGUAACGCCAGUUGCCAUGGAGCCGAUGUUGGGAUACCACCCUUGCAGUACUGGGUUUCUAACCAGCAGCCGUGAUCCGGCUGGGGGACAAUGUCAGGUGGGGAGUUUGACUGGGGCGGUCGCCUCCGAAAGGGUAUCGGAGGCGCUCAAAGGUUCCCUCAGAAUGGUUGGAAACCAUUCGAAGAGUGCAAAGGCAGAAGGGAGCUUGACUGCGACACCGACGGGUGGAGCAGGUACGAAAGUAGGACUUAGUGAUCCGGUGGUAUAAAGUGGGAUUGCCAUCGCUCAACGGAUAAAAGCUACCCUGGGGAUAACAGGCUUAUCACUCCCAAGAGUUCACAUCGACGGAGUGGUUUGGCACCUCGAUGUCGGCUCAUCGCAUCCUGGGGCUGAAGUAGGUCCCAAGGGUUGGGCUGUUCGCCCAUUAAAGCGGUACGCGAGCUGGGUUCAGAACGUCGUGAGACAGUUCGGUCCCUAUCCGGCGUGGGCGUAAGAUAUUUGAGAGGAGCUGUCCUUAGUACGAGAGGACCGGGAUGGACUGGCCGCUGGUGUAUCUGUUGUCUUACCAAAGGCAUAGCAGAGUAGCCAAGCCGGGAAGGGAUAAACGCUGAAGGCAUCUAAGCGUGAAGCCCCCCUCAAGAUGAGAUAUCUCAUAACGUCAAGUUAGUAAGACCCCUUGAAGACGACGAGGUAGAUAGGGCAGAGGUGGAAGUGUGGUAACACAUGGAGCUGACUGUUACUAAUAGGUCGAGGGCAUAACCAA